rnacentral:lncRNA from 1 species
GGAAAGGUUGGAGUCUAGAAGCUCCAAAUAAAGGCAGCACACUACUACAUGUGGAACAACAUUUUCAUCCAAAUAUCUUACACUGGACGACAUCUCCGCUGCCUAGCGCCUCUUGACGACCUAAAGGUUCUAAGCUCAAUCCACGAAGACGUUUGUGGAAACCACUCUAGAGGCCAAUCCUUAGCACAAAAGGCUCUUAACGCAGGUUACUGCUGGCCUAUCAUGCACCGAGAUACUAAUAAGUUAGUACAAAAGUGCGACUGUUACCAAUGCUACAAGCCGG